GACGAACGCUGGCGGCGUGCUUAACACAUGCAAGUCGAACGGAAAGGCCCUGCUUUUGUGGGGUGCUCGAGUGGCGAACGGGUGAGUAACACGUGAGUAACCUGCCCUUGACUUUGGGAUAACUUCAGGAAACUGAGGCUAAUACCGGAUAGGAGCUCCUGCUGCAUGGUGGGGGUUGGAUAGUUUCGGCGGUUGGGGAUGGACUCGCGGCUUAUCAGCUUGUUGGUGGGGUAGUGGCUUACCAAGGCUUUGACGGGUAGCCGGCCUGAGAGGGUGACCGGCCACAUUGGGACUGAGAUACGGCCCAGACUCCUACGGGAGGCAGCAGUGGGGAAUAUUGCACAAUGGGCGGAAGCCUGAUGCAGCAACGCCGCGUGCGGGAUGACGGCCUUCGGGUUGUAAACCGCUUUCGCCUGUGACGAAGCGUGAGUGACGGUAAUGGGUAAAGAAGCACCGGCUAACUACGUG
rnacentral:rRNA from 1 species